rnacentral:rRNA from 1 species
UACGGAGGGUGCAAGCGUUAUCCGGAUUCACUGGGUUUAAAAGGGUGCGUAGGCGGGCAGGUAAGUCCGUGGUGAAAUCUCUGAGCUUAACUCAGAAACUGCCAUGGAUACUAUUUGUCUUGAAUGUUGUGGAGGUAAGCGGAAUAUGUCAUGUAGCGGUGAAAUGCUUAGAUAUGACAUAGAACACCCAUUGCGAAGGCAGCUUACUACACAAAUAUUGACGCUGAGGCACGAAAGCGUGGGGAUCAAACAGG